AUAAUCAGUUACUUCUUUCUUAAUGAUUUCCCUUGGAAUUUAUGUCUAAACACGUCCCUGACAUUACACCAUGUUUUAGAUGCGCUCUGUAAUUAUCACGUUCAUUUUUUCGUAUUGCCGCAAUUAGUGCUCUAUUAUCCAUGGAGGAAUAUGCUGAUUGGUCAUACAAGUGCAUUUGCAUCCAUUGAUCGACAUGGCACGCAAUCGCUUCACACUUUACAUAUGAACUCGCAGUGUGUAAUUUCAUACUUGGAGUAUUGGAGAUACAAGCUGCACAUACAUACACUCUCAUACAAACAUAGUAUAAACAAUAAUGUAUGCAAAGCUGCGUCUUUGAAACGUUUAACCUCAUAUUAUUACUAAAUUGUACCUUAUUGUGGUUGAUUACUGUAGCUUUAACCCUAAUAUCGAAUUGAAGUGAAUGGGGGGUUUUAAUAUAUAAUGUUGGUGAGAAUGCAGCUGAGUACAAUUUUUUUCGCGAAGUGCACUAUCUGUCGACGAGUUUUGGUUGUGUGCGUAUUAUAGUAAUAACUAUAAAUUUGUAUAUUAUAGUGUAUAUACACAUUCCCUUAUAAGAACCAUAGCACACAAACAACGAAAAAUGCCGCGAACUAGUAACAUACACAAAAGCUGUGUUCGGGAAUUCAAAAAUUUUUGCAAAUUUGCACAAAUUUUUACUGGAAGUCGUUCGCGUACUUUAUUUGUCAGGAGAAGAGAGCACGAGAGAGAGCAAAUUUUGACAGUUAGAAAAUAGAGAUACUGCAAAUUUCUACUGGGACUUUAUUUGCCAGCAGAAAUUUGCAUCUUUGAACAGAUGUUUUGUAAAGGUCAGCUGUUUUAUGAAAAGUAGCAGUUACAUGAAAAUACAAAAGCUAACGGAAAAAUGGAUCAAAAAGGCAGAGAUAAGAAAAAAAUAUAAAUAUUAUCUAUUGGUAAUUACAAAAUA